rnacentral:rRNA from 1 species
AGUGAACGCUGGCGGUAUGCCUAACACAUGCAAGUCGAACGGCAGCACAGUAAGAGCUUGCUCUUACGGGUGGCGAGGGGCGGACGGGUGAGGCAUACAUCGGAAUCUACUAUUUCGGGGGGGAUAACGUAGGGAAACUGACGCUAAUACCGCAUACGAUCUACGGGUGAAAGCAGAGGAUCUUCGGACCUUGCGCGAUUGAAUGAGCCGAUGUCGGGUUAGCUAGUUGGCGGGGUAAAGGACCACCAAGGCAACGAUCCGUAGCAGGUCUGAGAGGAGAGUCGGCAACCCGGGACCUGAGCCCCGUCCCAGACUCCUCCGGGAGCCAGCAGUGGGAAAUUUUGGACAAUGGGGGCAAGCUUACUCCAGCCAUCCCGCGUGGGUGAAGAAGGCCUUCGGUUUGUAAACCCCUUUUGUUGGGAAAGACAAGCAGCAGGUUAAUUCCCCGCUGUUCUGCCGGUACCAAAAGAAUAAGCACCGCCUACCUUCGU